ACUUGAUGAUGUGGACAUUUAUGGAGUAGGUCCUGGAAGCGCUCCCAAGUCUUGAAAAAGAGUUUCCCAUCCAUCUGUGAGAAACUUGUGAUGGCUCUCUGAAGUU